AACUCGCCUACAUGAAGUCGGAAUUGCUAGUAAUCGCGGAUCAGCAUGCCGCGGUGAAUACGUUCCCGGGCCUUGUACACACCGCCCGUCACACCAUGGGAGUCGGUAACACCCGAAGCCUGUAGUCUAACCGCAAGGAGGACGCAGUCGAAGGUGGGAUUGAUGACUGGGGUGAAGUCGUAACAAGGUACC
rnacentral:rRNA from 1 species